rnacentral:lncRNA from 1 species
AAACAUUCUAGGAAGAGCACGAGCUGAACCCCUCAUGUAUAGCUUUGCCCAAGCCUGAUUAACAAGAAAACAAUCUAACCUAGUCAUUAUAGGAUGACUCAAACAAUUAUUUGACCAUGUAUAUUUGGCCCCAGUAGCAGGGAUGUCUAACAACUCCAUAUCAAAAAUAAAACCAGAAAACCUUACAUACAAGAGUCAAUCAUGUGCUCUACACUUGAUUCAAAAGGCCAUCUAAUCACAUUAAAAUCACCCCCAAUACACCAAGGUAGAAAAACUAAACCCCCAAUCUUAUUAAAGUGUUCAUUGCAAAAAUCAUGCCUUGAACUAGCUUCAUUAGGACCAUACACAUUUGUAAUCAACAAACAGCAACCAUAAUUAACAUGAAGAAAAACAUACGAAAUAGACCAUAUAUUGAUAGAAGAUCAUUCACACACCAAAACAGAGGGGCCCAUAACAUCCAUAUACCCCCAGAAGCACCAACAGAUUCUUUUACACAUAAUUGCAAAGGUCUAAAACCCCAAAUAGACAUAACAUGGUAAAACAAAAUAUUAGAGAUUUUGGUCUCUUGAAUCAAAACCAAAUAUGGACGUUCUUUCUUAACUCUAAUCCAGAUCUUUCUUUAACAAUAUUUGAAAAACUUAAAGAUUUAGACCAAUCUUGCAAAGUUAGCAGGCUGCCUCUGAAUCUCCAAUGUUUUUCCUUAAGAGCUAUUUCUUUACAAUAUGAUCAGACAAAUUGAACAAAACAAAACUAUUAAGGAAAAACACAUAUCCAGGUUUUUAAGCCAGAUUCCAAUUUUUCCAGGCCCAAUGAUCUAGCCUUCUCAGAUCUUGAAUUGGAGGAGAAAAAGAGCCUAAAAGAGAUGGUCACAACCCCUAUCUCCUGAUUUUACAGAUUUCAUCAUCCACCUUCACCCACCAUUGAUCAGCUAUCUGAUAAGAAUUUUCCACCAAAUUCACACCUUCACGAUUAAUACUAACUAAAGAAUCGCCCCGAACAACCUUCGCAAAAGAUCUACAGAUAUUAGCCAUCUCUCUCUCUCUCUCUCUCUCUCUCUCUCUCUCACACACACACACAUAAAAAUGUCCCUGCCUCAAUGGUGGUAGUCCGAUAGUUCACGUCUCGCAAAAUGGAGGUCUCCUGUUUCAACAAGUUUCUUCUCAAGAAGGCAGCAACGCCCCUAAGAUCUUCAGAGACAAAAAAACUUAAAAUGGCCACCAAAGAAUUACAAAGCGGAAAAUGCACCUGACCUAUUUUGAUACGUAUAAAGUAU